ensembl:lncRNA
CAGAACCCAGCAAAAUAAGGUUAUAGUUUCUGCCUGGUCUUUCAGAAUAAUAAUUAACAGUAGUGCUCUGAUCUCUUUGAACUAUUUUAAUGAGGAAAUGCCAAAGUAGGUGUGAACUAUGGAAUCUCUGAACGGGAGCACCUGGCAAAGGUCACCUUUAAAUUGAAGCACAAACCUAUUCCUUUGGGUUAAGUUGGUGCUUUGGUCUUACUGCAGAAGUUGGCACACCUGGGCUGCUGGCCGUGUUACCCAGGACUCACCUCCUUGCGAUUCUUCCUGGUGAGGCUCUGCCAUGCUUGAACCAGGGCAUCCUUUCUCUUGGAUGUCUACCAAUGGGAAAGCAAGUGCUCACAGAGGAAGCCUGGCUGAAGCAGCAAUGAGUUUUCUGAUGUGCCCUGAAUCAAUUGGUUUCAGCAUUCUCUCAGUAAUUUGGACACCUCGGUGCUGUACAGAAGGCCUGUGAUGUAAUACACCUCAAAUUUGUUAUACUUCACUGGCUCUGCUUCUGGGGAACAGAUAAAAGAACGAGGCAAACCUUGAUGUGAGGAUAUAUCCAAAACAUGGAACUUCGACUCUUGGUGUGAUUUAUAACAGGUCACAGGAGGACCUGCAGUUCAGGUACAGCUGACAUGUCAGAGCCUACAGUUACUUUAGGAAGCACAAAUUCAUCUGAAAUGCUGUGUCAGAGCAUCCUGCUGAGUUCCCUCUCCUGCACAGAAGCUCUACAACAGGCACACUGCGUUGGAAGCGCCUGUCUCAGGAAAGCAGCCACUGCUACACUAACAUCUCACGUAGUGCUCUGCACUCUUGUUUUAGGAGGAACUGCAUUUGAUCCUGUAAAACAAACGGUCUCCUAAGAGCAUAUUCUGCUGGCAUUGAAGCACAGACAGCAUUCUCCUGUCUGCACUGCCAGGAUCACUCUGCUUGCAGCACACAGAGCCGGUAGAGCCAGGGAAGGAGCCUGGCUGAGCAAGGUGCACCAAGGCCAAAUGCCAUCAGGGCAGAGUGGAGCUGGGGGUCCAUUCCUUGUGCUGUUGGUGUGAAUAGGGCUGCAUGGCCGCUGCUCCCUCCGCUCCAAUAAUAAAGCCUGUUAUGGGAAGGCAGGGAGGGAUCUUUUGGCCAGAUCAGAAGCAUCCACUUUGUCAAACAGCCGCAUGCUAGCUGGCUUAAUGGAAAUUAGCUGUGGCACUGCAGGACAGGAGAAGAUGCCUUUUCAUGAAUAAAUGAAAUGCAUGAGCGAUGCUUCCUUAAAAAAAAGGAUAAAAAUAGAAUCUGAAAUGUGAAGUCUGCAGCAUGCAGGCACGGGAGGUGUGUCCUGACAAAGCUAACAGAGUGCAGUUCUGACAUGGACUGCUUGCACAGGCUUGCCUGGGAGGGAGGGGGUUAGUUCAUGGGUGGGGGAGGGAUCCUGAAUUAACUGAGCAGUCAGUAACCAGAGCUAAUAAGGACACCUUUACCAUCCGUGUGGAGGGUUAUUUCAGUAUGCUGUAUUUGCUUUAGAAGGCACUCGAGGAAUUUUGCAAAUUACAAUGGUCUGUUCAAACUAUUUCUGCCAUUUAAAGAAGAUGUAAAUAAGUCAAAUGACCAUUACAUGCCAUGAUUCUAUGAUUACUUCCUCUGCUUUCUCCCAGAUCUCAGGUCUGGAAGAUGCAGCAGACAUUACGGACUUAGCAAUUGCUCUUUUUUCAGGGGCUCCCCCAGCCCAGUGGAGCCAAACUCAGGAUGCUGUGGAGAUGGGGACCCCAGCAGGGGUCAUGGUGAGGUGAGGCAUCAUGCAGCCCAGGGGUGGCCCAGCCCCACUGCCCUGCCAGCUGCUCACCUCCCCUCUACCCACCAGCACAGGCACAGCAGGCUGCCAGCUUCCCACUGCUGUUUCCCCUCCCCAGGCACAGCAGACACACUUCUUCCAUUUUCUUUCUCCACUGAACAUGAUUCAGAGGUCUGUUAUUUCCUUGUUCUCUCCUCUGGCACCCCAGAUGGUUCAGGGAUGGCAAGUAAGCAACACAGAUGCAGGGAAGGCAAGUAAAUACCACAAUUCAAAGAAGUACUUUAAACUGAGAAUGUCCAGAAAUGUAUUCAAGGAAUUGAUCUGUGUUAAAGGCGAAGCAUUGUAAGGACUCCUAGUUUGCAAUAAGUCUCACUGACUCUGCACUUAGCAGGAACAAUUUCCUUCCCUUCCUGCGAGCAAUGUGAUCUGAGCUGCCCUGAAUGGGAAAUCAGUUAGGCUGACAUCUAAAACCUCUUUCUUUGGGGAAAAUGCAGUCUAGGCAGAAUCACAGAAUCUCAACAUCAUUUGAGUUGGAAGGGGCCUUUCAAGGCCCUCUGGUCCCACUCCCUCAAUGCAGAGGGACACCACAGUUCCAUCAGUGCUCAGAGCCCAUCCCCUGACCUUGGCUGUCUGCAGGGAUGGGGCAGCCCCACCCCUUUGGGGAGCCUUUGCAGUGCCCCACUUCCCUUAGCAUAAAGAACUUUUUCCUUGUAUCUAGUCUAAAUGCAGGCUCCCACCUUAAAGCCAGGACUCGGCAAGAGCUCCAGGACAUUACAGGUGCCCCUAAGUCUCAAAAUUCCCACUAGUAUUCCACUGAAACUCCUGUAGGUGCACAGAACUCUGUUGUCUCCCUCUAGCCUGUGUUGCUCAGCCAAGUGUGACAUUACAGGAGCUCAGGCUUUGUGCCCACACCCAAAUUCCAGGUAAGAGCUCAGCCCUGAGCACAGGAUGUGCUGUUUCCAGCCCGCUUCACCGAGCUGUGAACAUCAAAUACUGCUGAUGCUGAAAGUAGAAUUUAGUUGUAAAGCUGACCUCAACUUCAUGGAAGAAAAAUCUACUGGAGAAUACUACAUGCUGAUAACAUCAGUGCAGCUCUGGCCUCACUGCCCUCCCAGACACACUGCUGGAGGCUGGGAUGUGCUCAUGUGUUACUGUCCUGGCCCAUCUCAGGCUGCAGGCCCAGCAGUGCAGGGGACAGCUCUGGCUGCUGCAGCUCUGCUCCCUCUGGCUCUCACGCAGAGACCAAAGACCUGUUGGGUGUAUUUCUGGGAAAGCAUUGUCCAGCUCCUCUCACUGCAGCCCAACCCCGGCACCUAUAAUCUCCCUCACCUCUACUCCCCCACCAAGCUGAGACCAAACAGCAGAGCAAUACUGUUAUUACAAGAAGCAAUUACAUUCACUCCUCUGAAGUUCCUCAUCGCUUGUCUCCCAGCACACACUGAUGCUGAGAAGAUAUCAAGCUCUCAGAAUAUUCUUUUUAACUUUCAAAGCUUUCAAUCUUUAAAUACAUCAUUGUCUUUAUCUCCUAAGACCUCUCGGUGUGAUAGUCUUGGUUUUCAAAGCGAGACAUGAGGAAUUCCUGGGCAGGGCCAAUUACCUAACUGCAUCUUUCCCAGUCUUUUCAAUAGUUGAUAGCAAAAGCAGCUUUAUCCACAGAGCCAUGCUGUUACUGUGCUGUACUGCACACAACAAAGAUAUGGAGGUAAUUCAGAGAGAUAAUACAAAAAUAUAGAAUGCUGGCAAUCUGGACAAGUCUUUUUUGAGUACAUAAGGAAAAAAAAAACAACAAAGUUAAGAAGAAAUAAGAAUGGAAGCAUAACUGAGACUAGAAGAAGGACAAACACUGCGGCUGUUUACCAAACAGAUAGAAGAGAAUUGCUACAUUCCUGGCCAUCCCAGCCAGACAGUGCACCUCACGGCUGCUUACUGGGUGUGCCUUUGUGAGGUUGCACUCCAAUGGGAUUGCUGAGAUAAACCACCACCAACAGUAAUAAUAACAAUUAAUAAUAGUAAUUUCUUUUUAAUCCAUAUCUAUCAGUAGAUCUAUAACUUACUGCACUAGUGACAUGGUGGAGGAGGAGUGGGUGUUAAGAGGUGAAUCAGGGAGAAGGAGGAGGGCUGUAGAGAAGCUCUGCCAGCAGGAAGCAUUUGUACGAAGUCAGCUCCGAAUGGGGUAACCACGUUCUUCCAAUGGCCAGGUCUGCAAGCUCAGGACAAAAAGAGGAAAUCCCCACCAGCAUGGUCAUUCUCACCUCUGGUCAGACACAGGUUCCUCUUUUCUAUCUAAGUGCAAAUGCUCAUCAGGAAAAUGUAAAACUGUUCUGAAAAUCACAUAUUUUCUCUGACAUCACCUUUCUGAAGUAUGAGCUCAUAAGUGCAGAAGGUGGCACCAUGCUUUGAGAGAGCUGUACUUUCUGUGGGCACAUCUUGGUUUUAUGACAUCUGAAUGACCGGGUCCUUACUGUACUCUUCAGCACAUGUAAUAUCAUUACGCCUUGCAAUUUAAUAUCUUAUUAAAGAUAUCAGGGUCACGGUUCCCAGUAAGUGCUGCUUGCAUUUUUUUUCCCUUAAAUAUAUUAAGAUUAAAUUCAAUUGAAAUUAAAACAAUAUAAAAGUUACUAAAAAAAUCCCUAUAAAUGGAGUCUGAAUUUCUAUGGCUAUUACCUCAUUUUACACUUCAGACUUAUCUUUGGGUGACAGGAAGCCAAAAUUCUGAAAUGGUUUAAUUAGACUGAAAAUUAUAUUUAAUAAAGUUCUGCUGAAGAAAUACAAGUAAAUGCUAUUAACUUCCCUGAGAACUGGAUGUGAAGAGUGAGAACAGGACCCUGCAGUUAUAGAGAGAAGGGCCUCACAGCAAGAAAAGGGAAAGUAGCUUCACAAAGUAGAAAUAAGGGGCAAAUAGAGACAGUUUAUGUAGAGAGUGUUAGAAAACAAGGGAUUCGCACUUUCGCAGACACCAGGUCUGGAGUAACAAGGAGGAUGAAGGCCAUAAAGAUAAGGACUGGAGAGCAGCUUGAAAACAUUUGGCGGGGGGGUGAUUAGAUGUCUACAGGCAAGCUGCAACCGGUUUGGGGGAUGCCCCCCCCUUCAGGAUCAGAAGAUUGCAGUGAGGAAGACUACAAGCCUUCGCGAGGAAGACUACGAGCCUUCAUCAUCAUGACCUGCUACGCACGCGCA